CGUGGGAUCAGACCCGAAACCAGGUGAUCUAGCCAUGAGCAGGAUGAAGGUUGGGUAACACCAACUGGAGGUCCGAACCAACACCCGUUGAAAAGGGUCUGGAUGACUUGUGGCUAGGGGUGAAAGGCUAAUCAAACCUGGAGAUAGCUGGUUCUCCGCGAAAGCUAUUUAGGUAGCGCCUCGGACGAAUACCUGCGGGGGUAGAGCACUGCAUGGAUGAUGGGGGCCCACAGCCUUACUGAGUCUAAGCAAACUCCGAAUACCGCAGAGUACUAUCCGGGAGACACACAGUGGGUGCUAACGUCCAUUGUGAAGAGGGAAACAACCCUGACCUGCAGCUAAGGCCCCUAAUUCGUGGCUAAGUGGGAAAGCAUGUGGGACGGCCAAAACAACCAGGAUGUUGGCUUAGAAGCAGCCAUCAUUUAAAGAUAGCGUAACAGCUCACUGGUCUAGACAAGCUGUCCUGCGGCGAAGAUGUAACGGGG
rnacentral:rRNA from 1 species